GCUAUACUGGUUAUUGUGGAUCCAAAAAUCCUAGGACACAGACUUUGCCCUCAAAUUAUUUACUGCAUAGUGGGUGGCCUGAAAAGCAAACAUAAGCACUAAAUAUGGAAAAAUGCAAAAGGCAAUGGGACCAUAAAAGGAACAGAUCUCUUCUAAGAUGUCUUGAUCGACUGACCCCAAAGCCAGAGGGUACCAGGUCAAAAAGCAAGAAAACAAACAAUACUGACAUUAGAGAGAAGCAAAGUUUCUAUAGAAAACCUAUUACACUGUGGUAUAAAUCAAGAUGAACCUGCAGACAUCUAUUUUAGUUUGGAAGUCUGGAAAAGUUCAAGAUUGGCCAUCUGCAGCUGGUGAGAGCCUCAGGCUGCUUCCCCUCAUGGUGGAAGGUGAAGGGGAGCUGGUGUGUGCAGAGAUUACAUGCUUUUCUAGGUCAUCAUUCUAGGCUUUGUUGAAGCAUGCAUUUUUGGCAUGAGGGUGGCAGCCUUUGCACUAUGUGCAUGGCUGAGGAGUUAGGAUCUGGAGGGUGAUGAAAGCAAAGGUGCUGCUGGUUACUCUUGGUUCAUCUAGCAAUAGAUGAUCUGAAUGUUAGAGUUCGCCAAAUAUUGUUCCUGGGCAGUCUUUGCUCUACCAAAUCAACUUUCUCCAUGGGGGAGCUAGAAGUCACCCCACAUUCUCCGCCAUGGCCAGCUCUACAUUCUAAGAGAACCAAUGGCUCUACCCAACAUAUUCUUCUCACCACAGAUGACAAAGACACAAGGAGCCAAGACAGAUCAUUCAAGCAUAUUCAUUGCCUCUAUCUUCAUCCCAUUAAAUAACAUCCCGCCAACCAAAGCAAGUUAUCUGCAUAAGAAUAAAUAUUCCACCUACUCUACUGCAAGGCCCUGCAAGAGUCAUGAGACAAAAGGAUCCUCUGUGGACAGCACCCAAGAUGGAAACAACUGACAGUCUAUGGCCAGGGCUAUACUCUGGUGAAACUGAAAGGUGUCUGCAUGGAAGUGUCUGACUACCACCAUCCACUCAGGCAAAUGCAUUUGUUUCCCUCUAUUCAUUAUUAGAAGAGAGGAGAUUACAUACCAGACAUAUACCAAUAGGUUUUCUCUUCAUAAUACCUACGUCAUCUAGUAGCAUAACAUAAGGCAGAAUCCUUCAAAGAUUUUCACCUGAACUUUUCUUGAGCAUCUCUAGACAGUCACAUGCAGAAUAACAACUGGGUUUUAG
rnacentral:lncRNA from 1 species